AUUGAACGCUGGCGGCAGGCCUAACACAUGCAAGUCGAACGAGUGGCGGACGGGUGAGUAAUGUCCGGGAAACUGCCCGAUGCAGGGGGACAACUUCUGGAAAACGUAGCUAAUACCGUCUACCAUCGGAUAUUCCCAAUUGGGAUUAGGUAUUAGGUGGGGUAACGCCUCACCUAGGCGAUGAUCCCUUGCUGGUCUGAGAGGAUGACCAGCCACACUGGAACGGAGACACGGUCCAGACUCCUACGGGAGGCAGCAGUGGGGAAUAUUGCACAAUGGGCGCAAGCCUGAUGCAGCCAUGCCGCGUGUAUGAAGAGGGCCUUCGGGUUGUAAAGUACUUUCAGCGAGGAGGCGUUACUCGCAGAAGAAGCACCGGCUAACUCCGUGCCAGCAGCCGCGGUAAUAC
rnacentral:rRNA from 1 species